UGGCAAUAACCACAAUAUUUAAAAUGAAUAGGACUCUUAUGAUAUCAUGACACGUAAAUACUCCAGCGCCAGUACCUGGUUGACCUCUCAGGUGGCAGUAUUGCACUUUAACGCUGAUACCUGUCAAACAAGAAGAAGACGCAGUCCCAGCGGGAGAGUGAGAGGUUCGGUCCACACCCGAAAAAAGUAAGCUCGACAGUAUGGGAGUUUUUCGGCUUCAAAGAAAACAGCUCCUUAUAGCCCGAUCUGCAGAAUUUGCCUGGCUACAGUCAGUGCGAAGGGUGGCAACACCACCAACCUUUUUACCCACCUCCGUGUCCAUCACCCUGCGGAUUACGCCAUUUUACAGAUGUUGGUGUGUCCCAGGGACCCAAGCCACAUUAGCGGGUGAUCUGUCUUCACGGCAGGCAUGUUAAGUAGGUUGAUGAAAGCUAUCUCUCUGCAUUCCGUCUUUGACACUGCCACUCACAGAUAUCUGCGCCUAUAAUGAAGUGCUGAUUUAGCUGACGAACCAUGGAUAGAGAUCAGAGAUGGAAUGCAAAGAUUGAGUAAGUAGACAUACUCUCACAGCAAAACACACUUUUGUGCAUCUGCAUAAGUACGUCAUUACGUCUGUUACUUUUGUCCUUUAUGGAAAGUUGAAGUAAACGAGACAAAACAGAGAGAGAUAAAACAACAGAAAAAUAUAAGACUUUUAGUACAGAGAGCUACCGUUGGCUACUGAACUGACUUCAGCUGAACAAUGUCACUAUUUUAUUUUAGAGCUGCUGUAUAGCCGAAAUGAACUCUGUUUGCAUCAUUGAAUCAUUAUUUUUCUGCGUAUCACUGUAAAGCUUCUUUGAAACAAUUUGUAUUGUUUAUAAGCACUAUAUAAACAAAGGUGAUUUGACUACUGUUGAGAGAGGGGACAUCAGACCCCCCCCCCACCUUUUUCAUAUUAUUAUUAUUAUUAUUAUUAUCAUAUUUUUUUAUAUAUUUCAAAUAGUAUUUAUAUUUGUAUCAUAUGUGUAUGUUUUCAGGAAUAUUAGUAUAUUAAUAUAAAAAAUAGACAAAGACCAAAUAUAUAACUAACCAAAACAUAACUUUUAACACCCACUGAAAGUUGUUCAUUGACAGUAAAUGCAAAGCCAUCGUAAACGUAUAAAUGUGAAGCUUAUCUCACAGAAUAAUAUUUCGCUUUUCAUUUUAUUUUCCCUUAAGUUAUCUAUGGAUAACACACAGGAAAGAUAUGCUGCUUAGAAACAUUUUUCAGAGGAGCAACUUUCAUACUCCCAAUAGUCCACACUGAUUUUUGCUUUGCUUGAGUUGUCCCAUCAAGGUUUCUCCAUGUUCUGUUAUUCUCCCAUGUAAUACUUGUAUUGCAAAGCCACAUCAGGCCUCAGCAGAAAAGAUGUACUCAUGGGCUGAGUUUUUUUCUAGCACUACAGGCCAGAUUUAAUCCAUUUAAACUGAUUUUAUUUCUGAUUUAUCAUAUAAGAAACUGCACAUUUCUGGCACUGUCACUGUUAGUGUUUUCCAGGCAGGCCAGUAUUUCCAAGAAGCAAGAACACCACAGGCCCACAUGGAGCUGACCAUUCCACUGAUUUACUGCCAAGAAAUAACUUGAUUUGAGCUUUGAAGUGUCCAGAUGGAAGGGUGUGAAAGACGUGGGAGUAAGCAUGUGCACACAUGAUCCAGGCCAUGCACAACUUGUACUUAUACUUGGCCCGUUCCUUUGGUACUGGAAGUACAGGUAGUUCUCUUGGAGUUAUCUUAUAUUCUGAACCGUUCUGUGUUGUUUAUUGUUCUAGGUCCUUUCUUGGUAAUUAUUCAAAUUAUUUUUUAUCAUGCUAAUUGAUUCCACUAAGUACCGCAGGCUGCAUCAAUACAUUACUCUGAUUUGCACUUUGAGUGGAUAACCAUCUGAGAUAUAAUUCUUAUGUGGGUUUGUGACUGCUGUACUGGGGGCCUUUUCAUUAUGCAGAUGUUCCCAUCAAUUUCAUGUAUCAUAGAUGUUUACUCACAGUUGUGGGUGUUUUGCUCUUUAAUUAGCACUUUACUUUAAUUAGUGCCUCUGUUCUGGCAUUAGCUGUUUACUAUUAACUUUCUACAUUCCACUAAAAAUAUUUGAAAGUGUUUUUUUUUUUGUUGUUUGUUAUUUUUUUCCCCGAAGGAAGGAUGAAGCUGACAUUUAGUCCAACAGGUCCAUCUAGUGGCAUAACCUUAAGAUCGAGUCUCCACACAUGAGAGAUGUGGGGUCUGAUUCUGCUAGUGUCUUUUGACUUCUGUAAAUGCUUGAGAGAAGUGUCAGUAAGCAAUCUGGACCGGAAGAUGUGUGUUUGUACUGAGUCUGAUAACAGAGCAACUACAAGGGUGUCCGUGUGAAUGACUGUCAAGGAAAUGACAAAUCAAAGAGUAGGGGUGAGCAGGGCACAACGUGGGGCUAGUUGUAACACACAUGGUUUAAAACUUUCCACACAUGCCAGCAUAACAAAUGACAAAAAGUGGUGCAUUUACUAGUUGCCAUAUCAACACUAUAUAGAGAAAAAAAUUGCAGCAAAAUUCAAAAAUCUUUGGAAGAUAUCACUGAACAUUUAUUUAACCAUAGCAAAAGUCAAUUUCUUACUGAAAUAAUUUUUCUCAGUUUUUGUUCAUAUAAAAUGAGACAAAUCUGCAAUUAUUUUAAUCUCCACUCUGUUAUUUAGCAGUUUAGAUAGUUCUUUAAUGCUGAUCUAACCAGCAGAAGGCACUAGCCGGGGUUUAAAUCCCAGUUGUGCAGAUAAGGCAUGCUGUAACACUGAGUUACAAUGUGUCACUAUUAGAACUAUGCAGUUCUAUGAUGUUAGUGACAUAAUUCACAUUAAAAACUUUUUAUUUUCUAUUGAGAAACCAUGAGAAAAAGGUAAAUAAAAAUGAGAGUCAAUGUUCAGAAAUGAUUAAUUAUUAUUAUGUUUUGAACUAUGCUGUAUAACUGUGUUUUGGGGUGUGUUUGAAAAUUAGCUUAUUUUUAAUUAUUAAAAAAUGCCAUUAUUUUAUAUGAAAAAGUUAAUUGUAUUUUAUUGACAAAAAUAUUUUAGUUUGUCUUGUAUAUUUCUUUUUAUUAGAUCAGAUAACAUUUUAAGCUGUCAUAUGGUCAUGUUAAAACGUGCCCCACCUACUCUGAAGUGGAUUUACACAAAUUGAGAAAGUCAAAAAGUGUUAGGCUGUGCCCCGCUCUCCUCUAUUGAACAGAGGCAUAGCCAAACCAACAGAUCUACCUCAAUUCAGUGGAAAAAAUAAAAAUAAAAAAAUGUUUUAAAAAAUGUUAGAAUGUUUUAAUUCUUCACUUUUGUUUUUUGUUUUUUUGUUUUCAAAAUUCUCCACAAAUUCUUCUAAUUUCACACUCUGUGCACAGUGUUAUUUUUAAGUUUCUAUAUUAUAGAUUUUAUAUAUUACCUGAUUUUAAAUAUUUUAUUCAUAUUGUGAAUUAUUAUUACAAUUUAUAAUAUCUGUUUACUAUUUUCACAGCUGAACAGUGUCACAUGGACCUUCAGAAAUUAUUCUAAUAUGCUGAUUUGGUGCAAAAACAUUUCUUCUUAUUAUCAGUGUUAUAUAAAUAUAUAUUCCUGAUCAUCAUAGCUGUUCUAGCACAUGUCCUCACUUUAAUAUUAUCAGGCUCAGGAAUCAGAACAAAGCAAAGCUAGCAAGGUGUUCCAGAUCAGAUUUCUGUCUUGUUUUUAACCUCAUUUUUAACCAAUUAGGAUAGUAUAACAUGAAGUCUGCCUGAUCUAACCAUUAGGGUGAAGAGAAGACACAUGAAAGUUUAGCGCCUCAGGACAACAUUUCACAAGGCAUGGAUUUUCGAGCGCUGACCGCUGAAAAAUUGGUCAAAUUCAUUAGCAGUUGCUUACACCGGCCUUGAAGUGUAUGAUAAAAAUGAUAGUUUCCAUGGUAACUGAUGGUGUUCCAAAACCAAGAGUAAGACAGGUUGCAAGUGGACCACUCUCGUUUAUAAAUGUGGAAAGGUUAUGCUGUAGUAGCUGACAUCCAAGCUUGAUUAUGGUUUUAUUAUUGUGCUUUGACCUCAAAUGCUUUACAUGAAUAAGCUGGAUAGGGCUGUGCCAGAUGGCAUAUUCAUUCAUUUUUCUUAUUAAAUGAAUGACGUGUCACCCAUUCCCCACAAUCAAACACUCCUAUGUUUGCAUUCAGUGACUUCACCGUAUCCAUAGAAACAAGUCAUUGGUGUUAGGCAGGGUGUUAGGAGGCCCUCUUAUAUCACAUGUCAUUUAGAGUUUCACACUUCUAGAGUAUGCACACACACACACACACACACACACACACACAAACAAACUACAGACGAGACAAGGUGGGCAUGUGGUGAAGACAUUUAUUCCCUAAAAACUGAAUUUUCACUACUGAUUUCAAAUAAUGUUUUUAACCGUCAUAUCAUUUGCCCCUAAAGGCCAGUUAGAAUGUGCCUCUUAAUCUUAUCUGUGUGUGUCUGUUGAACUCACACGCAGUGCUUCAGAGAGACAAGGUCUGAAAGAUACUAAAAGGUUUGUUUGAACAUACUCAACUAUACAGAAAGUACUGUUAUAAUGAACUGCAUAGAUAUUCCAGCUACAUGUUUAGAAAAAAUAAAAACUUAAUUUUAUUUAUAGUGCAAUAAAAGGAAGAGCAGGUGGCUUUAUGGAGGCUAAAGGGGGAGAUUAAAGGGUUAGUU